rnacentral:lncRNA from 1 species
UCUUUGGGAACACAACCUAUGGAGAUCUGAGGAAGUAUUUAUCUGGCUUUUUCGACACUACAAUCGGGUAUAUAAAAAGAGUCCAUCACUUCCAUUUUCAAUAGAAGAUGAUGAUCCAAAGUCUCAAACGUUUCUUGGCUGCAGAAACAAGAAAGAGAGCAGGAGUUACAAGGAGAUUACAGAAACUCUUGGAGUGGAUGAUCCUUCAGAGAUUCUUUUUGUGACAGAUGUUUAUCAAGAAGCUACUGCUGCAAAAGCCGCAGGUAAUAAACACAUGCACAAAACUCUUACCUCUAGAUAAUAUUUUACCUGUGGAACUGGUUAGAGAUUCUGAUGACCUUUUGCGGUUGUGAAAAGGUCUGGAGGCGAUUAUAUCGAUUCGACCUGGAAACGCUUCCCUACCAGAGAAUCACGGGUUCAAGACUGUCACAUCAUUCUCACAAAUUUAGAGAUUCCUC